rnacentral:lncRNA from 1 species
UUGUGCCAUCGCAUCAACUUAGCAUUCACCUUGUUCCUGAACAAGCGCUUCAAGCAUGGUAUUAUAGGGAAAUACACAUCACCUUCGAGGGAACUUUCUUCUUGGGAGGCUAUCCCUCGACAUCACUAGGAUCAUCUCGCCUGAUCUUAUACUGCAGCGCUUCGCACACAGGACAAGCAUCCAUUUUCUCGUAUUCAUCACCAUGAUAGAGGAUACAGUCAUUAGGGCAUGUGUGUAUCUUCUG